rnacentral:tRNA from 1 species
GGACUGUAGCUCAAUGGUAGAGCACUUGCCUCGCACAUGUGAGGCCCUGGAUUCGAUCCUCAGCACCA